GCCACCACGGCCCCGCCGCAGCGCGGGCACGCGCCGGAGGCCUUGUGCGUGCCCACCACCCGCUCCUUCUCCGCGCCGCACAGCGCCCGCACCGCGCUCAUCGCCAUCGAUGAUCCUUAUCCUAGACCCAAGAAGCGGAACAACGUGAUCGAGCAGAGGAAGACGAGGAUGGGGUUGGGGCGUUGGCGUGGGAGCGUUUCGGGAUUCC
rnacentral:lncRNA from 1 species